UGUGCUGUAAUGUAGGAAUUCCUUCCGUCCUCUGCACAAAAGCGUCUACAAAACCCGAAAGUCUCUAGCACGGAGAGUGCCGUGCACGCGGAACCAGUUGUAGGAAGGCCAUGUCUGUGCUGGUGCAUGCUUUUGUCUUGCAAGGGGCUGGGCUGCACAGGCAUUCCCUGUUGGGAGUGUCCAGCUCCAGCACCUGCCAGAACCUGGGUUUAAGAAAACCAGUCAGCAGCAGAGCUAUGCUAAACUCAGGACUUCAGUCACCUGCUUCCUAAUUCUCAAAGCAGCUAAAGCCCUGCAGUCUUUUUUUACCUUUUAUAGUCACAGGACUAGUCAAGCAAAAUCUUGAUUGGAUUAUUCUGCUUUAAUUACAAAAUGCACUCAGACCAAAGGCGCAAUAGUACCUGGUACGUAUGUACACAUUUCUCUCAAUUAUAACACAAAAGACCAAAAUGCCAUCUGGUCCUGCUGUAGAUCAAACAUUCC